GCCACCUGGGCGCCUUGAACCCGCCCUCCGGACCCGCCCCUGCCCCCGCCGCAGAGUGGAACCUUUGGAGCCCUGGGGGGCACAGGCUUACCACAUGAAGGACUUCAAACAAACUUUAUUAUUUAAUCAGUCAACAACUUUGCAAAUGUGAUGAACACUGAGGAUCCUCAGAUGGAUCGAUUAUCCUGGAUUACCUGGGUGGGCCCAAUCUAGUCCAUGAGUUCUUAAAAGUGGAAGAGGAAGGCAGAAGAGUGGGUCAGAGUUAUGCCACGAGAAGGACUCCUCGACCCUGAAGAGGAAUCUAGUCCAGUGUCUUGUUUGUGGUUGAUGUCCUAAAAUAUUUUUGCAACGACUAAUGAAAUCCUUAAGAAAUCUCCGUCAGUCAGAGAUCAGUCGGGAACCCACGACAGGUAGUUCAAGAGCAGGAAUGUAACACAGGGAAAUGGUGCAACGAUGAAGAACUGGAGCAAUCCAAAGCUCCUCUAACAAUUCUGAUGUGAAAAGAGGAUGGAUGGAGAAGCACUGAUUCAGCCAUGGCUGACAUGUCGGAGUUGGAAUGGACAGUGCUUGGACCUCACAGUCUCAGAGAACUGGGGAAGAGUAAAGCUGAAGAGGGUACCAUCUGGUUACAAAUGACAGCUCCAGGGCCCCAGGUGAGUGCUUUGUGUAAGAGGAGACUGCUGCGUGGUGAUAGGAUUAAAACUUAUGUCCCCCGCCUCCUGGUUCCACGUCGCACAUGGUGCCCAUGACACUCUUUAAACCUCAGAAACCACUUCCCUAUGGGCUCCAAGUCUAAAGCCUUAAACUAGAAGCUGAAAACCCCUGGUGGCAGAUUGCAUUUUCCAUGAAUGGCCACAGCAAUAUUUCUCAUCUCACAAGUUCUUCCAGAACUUUGCCACUCUUCUGUCAAGAGGUGGAACCUAUAUCCCCUUCUCUUGAUCCUGGAUGGGCUUUGAGUAAGAGAACAUGGUGCAAGUAACACUAUGGGCUUCAGAGGAUAGGUGACAAAAGGCAACAGAGCUUCUGCCUGCUCGCUCUCUCUCUCUCUCUUUCUCCCUCUCUCUUAUCCUUAGAAACCAGGCCAUGUAGAGAGGCCACAUGGGAACUGAGGUUCCUAGUCGUUAGCUUCCACUGAGCUCCCAGCCAACAGCCAGCAAUAACUUGCCAGACAUGUGCACGGGCCAUCUUGGAAGCAGAGGAUCCAGCCCUCAGCCAAGAUGCCCCAGUUGACUCCACGUGGACCAGGAAUGAGCCCUCCUGCUGAGCUCUGCCCAAGUUACAGAUCUGUGAGCAAACUAAAUGACAGCUGUAUUCAGCUACCAAGCUUGGGGUGGUUUGUAACACAGAAAUAGAUAACCGGAAUAUCACCCAUGUCUUUCUUUCCAAACUUAGUUAACUGAGUCUGAGCUAAAGAUAAUUCACAAUAUGUAUCUUAUACUGAAUACUUACUAUAUUUGGGACAUGAUCGCUAAUAAUCCUCACAAUAGCCCUACAAUAGGAAACAAUCAUCCUCAUUUCACAAAUAGAGAGUUUAAUGGUAAGCCUGAACUCAAACUCAGAUUUGUUUGACUUCAGAGCCCAUACUUCUUUCACUAAGCUAUACCAUCUCCAUUCACUCUAUGCUCUCUGGCCACUUGAGAGGCUGUCUGUGAGUCUAUCUCCUUAUUAACCCGUCAUUCCUUCUACUUCCGUGAUAAUCAGCAAGGCUGAAUGAUAGCUCUCAGUUCUAUGGGGUCUUUCCAGGAGAAGGGCCAAAAGGGAGUGGCUGAUCACAAGGUCAUCAGCACAAAAAGAUGGUGGCCAAGCUAGAGUCCUGCAUGGCACAUGAGCCAGAUGAUCAAGUAAUGAAAGCUAUGCUAAGAAAUGUAGGCUUUAUCUUGUGGAGAAGGAGAAGCAGUAGAGGCUUUUUAAGGUACAUUUCAGAACAAUUAUUAUUUUUACAUUUAUUAUAUAUUAUUUAUA